CAAUUGUUUUCAGUAUGUAAUUUAUUUAAAAAAAAAUACUAUAUAUUUACCCAUGUCAGGUGAUGUGUAAUACAAUUAUUGCAACCUAAGGCUUAAUUAAUACAUUGUUUACAUUGUUGCAAAAAUAAACACUUGCCUGUGAAAUGAAAUUUUUGGCUUAUUUUCCUUAUUACUGCUACAAUAUCCAUUACUUUUGCAGUUGCGAAUCGUACAGUUAACUGGCAUGUUAUAUUUUCCUUCUGAAAGGAGAUAGCUUUUGUUUUUUUACUUCACGAAAUGAUUUUUUCCCUAAAAUCUCAGAAAAAAUUGUACUCUGGCAGGUGAAAAAGUACUGGGGAGAGUUAAAAUUUGUUGAAAGAUUUGUUUCUGUUUUUGCACGAAAAUACUCAUUUUUAGUGAUACAUA